rnacentral:lncRNA from 1 species
AUGCCACAAAAUGAAUAUGUUGAAUUGCACUACAAACGAUAAGGAUAUCAUUUGGGCUACCAUGAGAAAAAGAGAAAGAAAGAAGGUCACGAGGCCCAUGAAUGUUCAAAGAAGGCAAAAUGAAUGAAUAAAUAAAUAAAUGAAUGAAAAAUAAAAAAAAAUGUUUGGCUUAAAGGCUAAGCUCUACCAUAAAUAGCACCAUGCUGAGAAAAUACAAAUGAAAAAACUAUUAAGAUGCAUGAAAAGAGAAACACCAAGCUGAAGGAUAGUGAGAUGACUCAACAGGGAGCAGUCCCUGCCUCUCUGCUGGACAGUGAGGGGCAGUCAAGAGCAAAAGUACUUUCCAACAUGAUUAAGAAGAAACAAAAAGAAAAGGCGGGAAAAUGGGAGGUCCCUCUACCCAAAGUUCAUGCCCACGGAGAAACAGAAGUAUUGAAAGUUAUUUGAAGAGGAAAAAGGAAAAAAGAAGGCAUGGAAGAGAAUGAUUACUAAAGUCUGCAUUGUUGGUAAUGACUUUAUAAGAAAACCACCUAUAUAUGAAAGGUUCAUUAGGCCAAUGGGUCUACAUUUCAAAAAAGCCCAUGUUACACACCUUGAGCUGAAAACUACCUUUUGCCUGCCUAUGGUGUGAAAAAGGGUCCAUCAUCCCCAUUAUUUACAGCCCUUGGUAUGAUCACCAAAGGUACAGUUAUUGAAAUUGAAGUGAAUGUGAAUGAGUUGGGCCUUGUGGGGAAAGUAUGCCCAAGUUACCAACAAUCUUGAAAAAGAUGGGUGCAUAAAUGCGGUCUUGCUGGUUCGACGGUGA